CCUAGCCCUCCACCUUACAUUCUUCAAAGUCCUCCACACCACUUCUCUGCUGGACAUCGUCCAGAUUUGAGGAGGCAAUCUGACCGUGGUUGUGACACAGCUCCAAUGUCACUGGUUGACACCCCUACGCGUCUGCCCUCAAGUCCUGUGUGCCGGAUCUCUGCCACCCCUCUGUCAGAUGAUGGCCAAGACCACCUUUUCGUCCCUAGCUUUAGACUGGGGAAGACCGGCACUGGACCUGUUCCUUGCUCUGCGGCUCAGCUGCACAUCCUGACCCUGCUGGAACACAUCAAGCAGCAGCAAAUGCAACUUGCUGC